rnacentral:rRNA from 1 species
UACAGAGGUCUCAAGCGUUGUUCGGAUUCAUUGGGCGUAAAGGGUGUGUAGGUGGCGCCGUAAGUCGGGUGUGAAAUUUCGGAGCUUAACUCCGAAACUGCAUUCGAUACUGCGGUGCUUGAGGACUGGAGAGGAGACUGGAAUUCAUGGUGUAGCAGUGAAAUGCGUAGAUAUCGAGAGGAACACCUGCGGCGAAGGCGGGUUGCUGGGCUGACACUGACGCUGAGGAGCGAAAGCGUGGGGAGCAAACAGG